rnacentral:rRNA from 1 species
AGAUUGAUGGCGAGUAGGCGAACGGGUGAGUAAUACAUCGGAACGUGCCCUGUAGUGGGGGAUAACUAGUCGAAAGAUUAGCUAAUACCGCAUACGACCUGAGGGUGAAAGUGGGGGACCGCAAGGCCUCAUGCUAUAGGAGCGGCCGAUGUCUGAUUAGCUAGUUGGUGGGGUAAAGGCCCACCAAGGCGACGAUCAGUAGCUGGUCUGAGAGGACGAUCAGCCACACUGGGACUGAGACACGGCCCAGACUCCUACGGGAGGCAGCAGUGGGGAAUUUUGGACAAUGGGCGAAAGCCUGAUCCAGCAAUGCCGCGUGUGUGAAGAAGGCCUUCGGGUUGUAAAGCACUUUUGUCCGGAAAGAAAUGGCUCUGGUUAAUACCUGGGGUCGAUGACGGUACCGGAAGAAUAAGGACCGGCUAACUACGUGCCAGCAGCCGCGGUAAUACGUAGGGUCCAAGCGUUAAUCGGAAUUACUGGGCGUAAAGCGUGCGCAGGCGGUUGUGCAAGACCGAUGUGAAAUCCCCGAGCUUAACUUGGGAAUUGCAUUGGUGACUGCACGGCUAGAGUGUGUCAGAGGGGGGUAGAAUUCCACGUGUAGCAGUGAAAUGCGUAGAGAUGUGGAGGAAUACCGAUGGCGAAGGCAGCCCCCUGGGAUAACACUGACGCUCAUGCACGAAAGCGUGGGGAGCAAACAGGAUUAGAUACCCUGGUAGUCCACGCCCUAAACGAUGUCAACUAGUUGUUGGGGAUUCAUUUCCUUAGUAACGUAGCUAACGCGUGAAGUUGACCGCCUGGGGAGUACGGUCGCAAGAUUAAAACUCAAAGGAAUUGACGGGGACCCGCACAAGCGGUGGAUGAUGUGGAUUAAUUCGAUGCAACGCGAAAAACCUUACCUACCCUUGACAUGCCACUAACGAAGCAG